rnacentral:rRNA from 1 species
UUGAACGCUGGCGGCAUGCUUUACACAUGCAAGUCGCACGGCAGCGCGGGCUUCGGCCUGGCGGCGAGUGGCGAACGGGUGAGUAAUACAUCGGAACGUGCCCAGUAGUGGGGGAUAGCUCGGCGAAAGCCGGAUUAAUACCGCAUACGACCUGAGGGUGAAAGCGGGGGAUCUUCGGACCUCGCGCUAUUGGAGCGGCCGAUGGCAGAUUAGCUAGUUGGUGGGGUAAAGGCCUACCAAGGCGACGAUCUGUAGCUGGUCUGAGAGGACGACCAGCCACACUGGGACUGAGACACGGCCCAGACUCCUACGGGAGGCAGCAGUGGGGAAUUUUGGACAAUGGGCGAAAGCCUGAUCCAGCAAUGCCGCGUGUGUGAUGAAGGCCUUCGGGUUGUAAAGCACUUUUGGCGGGAACGAAAAGGGCUGUGCCAAUACCACGGUUCGAUGACGGUACCCGCAGAAUAAGCACCGGCUAACUACGUG